AGAGUUUGAUCCUGGCUCAGGAUGAACGCUGGGUGUAUGCCUAAUACAUGCAUGUCGAGCGAAGUACUUGUACUUAGCGGCGAAUGGGUGAGUAACACGUACCUAAUCUGCCCUCUAGUUUGGGAUAACUAUUAGAAAUGAUAGCUAAUACCGAAUAUUCUUAUCUUUAUUAAGAAGAUGUAGUGAAAGAUCCGUUUGGAUCGCUAGAGGAUGAGGGUGCGUCUUAUUAGUUAGUUGGUAGUGUAAUGGACUACCAAGACGAUGAUAAGUAGCGGGGUUGAGAAGCUGAACCGCCACACUGGGACUGAGAUACGGCCCAGACUCCUACGGGAGGCAGCAGUAGGGAAUAUUUCACAAUGAACGAAAGUUUGAUGAAGCAAUACACCGUGCAGGAUGAAGGCCUUCGGGUCGUAAACUGCUGUUAUAAGGGAAGAACAACUAUUAUAGGAAAUGAUAAUAGUCUGACGGUACCUUAUCAGAAAGCACCGGCAAACUAUGUGCCAGCAGCCGCGGUAAU
rnacentral:rRNA from 1 species